rnacentral:rRNA from 1 species
AUUGAACGCUGGCGGAAUGCUUUACACAUGCAAGUCGAGCGGCAGCGCGGCCUUCGGGCUGGCGGCGAGCGGCGAACGGGUGAGUAAUGCAUCGGAACAUGCCCAGUCGUGGGGGAUAACACUUCGAAAGAAGUGCUAAUACCGCAUACGUCCUGAGGGGGAAAGCGGGGGAUCACAAGACCUCGCGCGAUUGGAGUGGCCGAUGUCAGAUUAGCUAGUUGGUGGGGUAAAGGCCUACCAAGGCGACGAUCUGUAGCUGGUCUGAGAGGAUGAUCAGCCACACUGGGACUGAGACACGGCCCAGACUCCUACGGGAGGCAGCAGUGGGGAAUUUUGGACAAUGGGGGCAACCCUGAUCCAGCCAUUCCGCGUGAGUGAAGAAGGCCUUCGGGUUGUAAAGCUCUUUCGGCAGGAACGAAACGGUGGGCUCUAACAUAGUCCGCUAAUGACGGUACCUGAAGAAGAAGCACCGGCUAACUACGUG